CCUACGGGAGGCAGCAGUGAGGAAUAUUGGUCAAUGGUCGGGAGACUGAACCAGCCAAGCCGCGUGAGGGAUGAAGGUACAGAGUAUCGUAAACCUCUUUUGUCAGGGAACAAAGGCGGGGACGUGUCCCCGGAUGAGUGUACCUGAAGAAAAAGCAUCGGCUAACUCCGUGCCAGCAGCCGCGGUAAUACGGAGGAUGCGAGCGUUAUCCGUCUUUAUGGGGUUGAAAGGGUGCGAAGGCGGUCUGUUAAGUCAGCGGUCAAAGCCCGGGGCUCAACCCCGGCCCGCCGUUGAAACUGGCAGUCUCGAGUUGGAGAGAAGUAUGCGGAAUGCGCGGUGUAGCGGUGAAAUGCAUAGAUAUCGCGCAGAACUCCGAUUGCGAAGGCAGCAUGCCGGCUCCACACUGACGCUGAGGCACGAAAGCGUGGGUAUCGAACAGGAUUAGAUACCCUGGUAGUC
rnacentral:rRNA from 1 species